AGUAACACGUGGAUAACAUACCUAUAAGACUGGGAUAACUUCGGGAAACCGGAGCUAAUACCGGAUAAUAUAUUGAACCGCAUGGUUCAAUAGUGAAAGACGGUUUUGCUGUCACUUAUAGAUGGAUCCGCGCCGCAUUAGCUAGUUGGUAAGGUAACGGCUUACCAAGGCAACGAUGCGUAGCCGACCUGAGAGGGUGAUCGGCCACACUGGAACUGAGACACGGUCCAG
rnacentral:rRNA from 1 species